UUUUCUGGAAGCUGCCCUAUGGUAGAGUUGUGCCUUGUGGGUCAGAGAUGAAAGGAGCUGGCCUGUAACCCUGUGAAACCGAAACCCUUUUUUUCCGAAGGACUCUUAAAUCCCAGGAGAAUCCAGUUAAACAUCUGUUCUGGCUACACAAGGCAUGGUAAUGGGUGGCUUCAGUGAUACUGUGAUUAGAGGUGGCUCCUCGAUUAACUCCUGGUCCACCUGGGGACAUCUUUUAGUGGAAGCAGGGAAGUUAUUUAUUUAUGAAACCAUAAGGAGUUGAUGGAGGGGUUUCUUCAAUUCUAUCUCAUGCGGGAAAUGCUGUCCUGAAAAAUGGUGUCUCUGGAAGGGAUGGAAUCAAGUGAUGUACAAGGA